AUUGCCUCAGUAACGGCGAGUGAAGCGGCAACAGCUCAAAUUUGAAAUCUGGCUCCUUCGGGGUCCGAGUUGUAAUUUGUAGAGAGUGCUUCGGGCGAGGCCUCGGUCUAAGUCCAUUGGAACAUGGUGUCAUGGAGGGUGAGAAUCCCGUAUGCGACCGUGGCUCGAGCCCAUGUGAAGCCUCUUCGACGAGUCGAGUUGUUUGGGAAUGCAGCUCAAAAUGGGUGGUAAAUUUCAUCUAAAGCUAAAUACUGGCUGGAGACCGAUAGCGCACAAGUAGAGUGAUCGAAAGAUGAAAAGCACUUUGGAAAGAGAGUCAAACAGUACGUGAAAUUGUUGAAAGGGAAGCGCUUGCAACCAGACCUGCCCGUAGGCGAUCAGCCGCUGUUCUCAGCGGUGUACUCGUUCUUCGAUCAGGCCAGCAUCGGUUUCGGCGGUCGGAUAAAGGCCUUGGGAAUGUAGCUUCCCUCCGGGGGAGUCUUAUAGCCCUCGGUGCAAUGCGGCCAGCCGGGACCGAGGACCGCGCUUCGGCUAGGAUGCUGGCGUAAUGGUUGUAAGCGACCCGUCUUGAAACACGGACCAAGGAGUCUAACAUCUAUGCGAGUGUUUGGGUGUCAAACCCAUGCGCGGAAUGAAAGUGAACGGAGGUGAGAACCCUCAAGGGCGCAUCAUCGACCGAUCCAGAUGUCUUCGGAUGGAUUUGAGUAUGAGCAUAGCUGUUGGGACCCGAAAGAUGGUGAACUAUGCCUGAAUAGGGUGAAGCCAGAGGAAACUCUGGUGGAGGCUCGCAGCGGUUCUGACGUGCAAAUCGAUCGUCAAAUUUGGGUAUAGGGGCGAAA
rnacentral:rRNA from 1 species